rnacentral:rRNA from 1 species
AUAUCAAUAAGCGGAGGAAAAGAAACUAACAAGGAUUCCCCUAGUAACUGCGAGUGAAGCGGGAAAAGCUCAAAUUUAAAAUCUGGCGGUCUUUGACUGUCCGAGUUGUAAUCUAGAGAAGUGUUAUCCGCGCUGGACCGUGUACAAGUCUCCUGGAAUGGAGCGUCAUAGAGGGUGAGAAUCCCGUCUUUGACACGGACUGCCAGGGCUUUGUGAUGCGCUCUCGAAGAGUCGAGUUGUUUGGGAAUGCAGCUCAAAAUGGGUGGUAAAUUCCAUCUAAAGCUAAAUAUUGGCGAGAGACCGAUAGCGAACAAGUACCGUGAGGGAAAGAUGAAAAGAACUUUGGAAAGAGAGUUAAACAGUACGUGAAAUUGCUGAAAGGGAAACGCUUGAAGUCAGUCGCGUUGUCCAGGGAUCAACCUUGCUUUUGCUUGGUGCACUUUCUGGUUGACGGGUCAGCAUCAAUUUUGACUAUUGGAAAAAGAUUAGGGGAAUGUGGCAUCUUCGGAUGUGUUAUAGCCCUUGGUUGCAUACAAUGGUUGGGAUUGAGGAACUCAGCACGCCGCAAGGCCGGGUUUUUAACCACGUACGUGCUUAGGAUGCUGGCAUAAUGGCUUUAAUCGACCCGUCUUGAAACACGGACCAAGGAGUCUAACAUGCCUGCGAGUGUUUGGGUGGAAAACUCGAGCGCGCAAUGAAAGUGAAAGUUGAGAUCCCUGUCGUGGGGAGCAUCGACGCCCGGACCAGACCUUUUGUGACGGUUCCGCGGUAGAGCAUGUAUGUUGGGACCCGAAAGAUGGUGAACUAUGCCUGAAUAGGGUGAAGCCAGAGGAAACUCUGGUGGAGGCUCGUAGCGAUUCUGACGUGCAAAUCGAUCGUCAAAUUUGGGUAUAGGGGCGAAAGACUAAUCGAACCAUCUAGUAGCUGGUCUGC